rnacentral:rRNA from 1 species
UACAGAGGUCUCGAGCGUUAGGCGGAAUCACUGGGCUUAAAGCGUGUGUAGGCGGGUCGUUAAGUGCCUUGUGAAAUCCCAUGGCUCAACCAUGGAACUGCUGGGCAUACUGGCGAUCUUGUGCCACCUAGGGGCGAGCGGAACAGAUGGUGGAGCGGUGAAAUGCGUAGAUAUCAUCUGGAACGCCAAUGGUGAAAACAGUUCGCUGGGGGUGUGCAGACGCUGAGACACGAAAGCCAGGGGAGCGAACGGG